GCCAGGGAAGGGGUGGGGGCAGAGUCUACUGGAGGCUGCACACCCACCCCACUCACACCUACUCUAGAAAUCCCCAAUACACUGGCGAACGAACGGAGCUGGAUCAGGACAUGAAUAAGGAGGAAACUGUGAUCACAAACCCCGAGAAAAGGAAGAAUAGCACAGCUGUGAUGUCACCCGCAGAACUUGUGGCAGAGCCUUGGGGGUGCAGCUGCUCUGAGUCUAUAGGCUGGAAUCCUGAGCCGCGGCCUGGCCUGGCCUGCCUCCUACCAUGGGCUCCAGGCUGCUCUGCUGUGUGGCCCUCUGCCUCCUGGGAGCAGGCCCCUUGCACUCAGGUGUUUCCCAGACUCCAAAAUAUCUCCUCACACAGGCUGGAAAAAAGCAAUCCUUUAAAUGUGAGCAAAAUCUGGGCCAUGAUACAAUGUACUGGUAUAAGCAGGACUCCAAGCAAUCACUGAAGAUGAUGUUUACCUACAAUAAUAAGUUAAUGAUUGCAAAUGAAACAGUUCCAAGUCGCUUCUCACCUGAAUCUCCAGACAAAGCUCAUUUAAACCUUCAUGUCAAGUCCCUGGAGCCAGAGGAUUCUGCCUUGUAUCUCUGUGCCAGCAGCCAAGGCACAGCCCUGCAGAGUCACCAGCUGCCUGUGCACAAACCUUCCAGGCAGCCAGGAAGCUGUGGUGACAAUGAGUUCCCUGUGCCUGAGGCUCUGCUCUCCAUUCCUGUGGUCCCCGUGGAGUGUCAGUGUGCAGCAGCCUCCAGGGCGCCUGGUGGGCAGCUGAGUUCUCCACACACAGAGCCCUGCAGAAUCCCUCUGGUCAGCUGAGCAGGGACUCCACUAGCAUCACCCGCCCAUACAAAUCCACCAAGAGUGGAGAACUUCAAGUCCUUAAGUGAAGGAGCAGCCAUUCCUUGUCCUUAUCUGCUGUACAUAUGGCCACAUCUUGUCCAUUAUGUUGUCCAUGGAGACACAAAUUUAAAAAAUGUUUGAUGAGCACAAACCUGAAGAUAGGCCAGGGUGAAUCUUCCC